rnacentral:rRNA from 1 species
UGGCGGCCUUAGCGCGGUGGUCCCACCUGACCCCAUGCCGAACUCAGAAGUGAAACGCCGUAGCGCCGAUGGUA